AGGACGAACGCUUGCGACGUGCCUAAGAAAUGCAAGUCGAACGGACCAGCAGCAAUGCUGGUUAGUGGCGAACGGUCGCGUAACACGUGGGCAACCUGCCCUGAAGCGGGGGACAACAACUCGAAAGAGUUGCUAAUACCGCAUGUGUAUCGCUGUGGCAUCACAGAGGAUACAAAGCCGCAAGGCACUUCAGGAUGGGCCCGCGGCCUAUCAGCUUGUUGGUGAGGUAACGGCUCACCAAGGCUUCGACGGGUAGCUGGUCUGAGAGGACGAUCAGCCGGAUUGGGACUGAGAUACGGCCCAGACUCCUACGGGGGGCAGCAAUUAGGAAUCUUGCACAAUGGGCGAAAGCCUGAUGCAGCGACGUCGCGUGAAGGAUGAAAUCUUUCGGGAUGUAAACUUCUUUACCAGGGAAGAAUAAAUGACGGUACCUGGUGAAUAAGCCCCGGCUAACUACGUGCCAGCAGCCGCGGUAA
rnacentral:rRNA from 1 species